ensembl:snRNA U6 U6 spliceosomal RNA
GAUUAGCUUGUGCUCAGGUACCAAAAUUGGAAUGGGACAGAGAAAUUUAACAUGGCCCUGGGCAAGGGUGACACACCAAUUCAUGAAGCAUUCCGUAUUUUU